rnacentral:lncRNA from 1 species
AUUUCUACAAGGUUGUACGCAACCCUACUGAACAGGAACUUAAAGACUGCUGCUAGUGACUUUGUUGCAAUCACAGCAAGGCAAAAGAGGAGGGCAAAAAUCAAGAUGGAUUUUACCUACAUAAUGCAGGCUGCAGGAGGAAAUACAUAUGUUGGGCUGAAAUCAGAAGUGACAUAUGAGUGAUCACUGGCCGCUUUACUUCCUACCUCAGUCCAUGGAUUAAGGCUCUCAUCCAGACCAUAACUCAGUGCACAGAGAUCCAGG